GACGAACGCUGGCGGCGUGCUUAACACAUGCAAGUCGAACGGAAAGGCCUGCUUUCCCUUGUGGAUUGCGGGUACUCGAGUGGCGAACGGGUGAGUAACACGUGAGUGAUCUGCCCCCAACUUGGGUAUAAGCCUGGGAAACUGGGUCUAAUUCCCGAUAGGACUGCAGGGUGGUGCCUGUGGUGGAAAACGAUUUUCUAGUGGUUGGGGAUGAGCUCGCGGCCUAUCAGCUUGUUGGUGGGGUAAUGGCCUACCAAGGCGGCGACGGGUAGCCGGCCUGGGAGGGUGGACGGCCACAUUGGGACUGAGAUACGGCCCAGACUGCUACGGGAGGCAGCAGUGGGGAAUAUUGCACAAUGGGCGGAAGCCUGAUGCAGCGACGCCGCGUGGGGGAUGACGGCCUUCGGGUUGUAAACUCCUUUCGACCGCGAGGAAGCCACCUGGUUGGAAGGGUGGUGACGGUAGUGGUAGAAGAAGCACCGGCUAACUACGUG
rnacentral:rRNA from 1 species